rnacentral:rRNA from 1 species
UGGGGAAUAUUGGACAAUGGGCGCAAGCCUGAUCCAGCCAUGCCGCGUGGGUGAGGAAGGCCCUAGGGUUGUAAACCCCUUUCAGCGGGGAAGAUAAUGACGGUACCCGCAGAAGAAGCCCCGGCUAACUCCGUGCCAGCAGCCGCGGUAAUACGGAGGGGGCUAGCGUUGUUCGGAAUUACUGGGCGUAAAGCGCGCGUAGGCGGACUUUCAAGUCAGGGGUGAAAUCCCGAGGCUCAACCUCGGAACUGCCUUUGAUACUGAUUGUCUUGAGUGCGGAAGAGGGUGACGGAAUUCCCAGUGUAGAGGUGAAAUUCGUAGAUAUUGGGAAGAACACCGGUGGCGAAGGCGGUCACCUGGUCCGCAACUGACGCUGAGGCGCGAAAGCGUGGGGAGCAAACAGGAUUAGAUACCCCGGUAGUCC